rnacentral:rRNA from 1 species
UACGUAGGGUGCAAGCGUUGUCCGGAAUUAUUGGGCGUAAAGAGCUCGUAGGCGGUCUGUCGCGUCGGAUGUGAAAACCCAGGGCUCAACCCUGGGCCUGCAUUCGAUACGGGCAGACUAGAGUUCGGUAGGGGAGACUGGAAUUCCUGGUGUAGCGGUGAAAUGCGCAGAUAUCAGGAGGAACACCAAUAGCGAAGGCAGCUCGCUGGGACGGUACUGACGCUGAGGCGCGAAAGCGUGGGGAGCGAACAGG